CUACAGCUGAGGAGUCCUAUAAUAGGACGAAACGGCAGUCCAGUGU
rnacentral:hammerhead_ribozyme from 1 species